UUUCUUUUUUUUUUUUUUUUUUUUUUCGUUUGUGAACUGACAGUGGAAGCCGUAACUAGUCUGAGGUUAAUGUUAAUUCUACAUUAUCAUUACAUAUGCAAGAAACCAGCACCAAGUGGAGGCGUAUUUAUUGGAACGGACUCCGACGUACCUAGCUGGUGUGAAGGCUCAACCUGCGAUGGACCUCCUUCAGAUAACUGCACAGUACUGAGAGCACCCUAUAGCUGUUGUCCAGAAUAUGUAUGCGACGGCUCUCCUAUUAACUGCACAUCACCGAAUGGAACUGUAUAUACCCCAUAUGAUACCUGGGUAGAAGA